AUCUUUCCAUUAAUGUUCUUGUGUAAGGUUAACGUUUUGAUUUGUAGGGUUUUCUUGGUGUGUUGCUAAAGGGGGCUCAAUUUCGUUAAUUGCCAUUGGUUAGUCCAAUAUGGCUUAAGUUUACAUUUUGGAGAAAAACUAUUUCUUGUUACUAGUUCUAGCAUUAUAUCUUUCAUAUUUUUAUGAAAUUACUCAAUAUUGGAGAAGGGUUUUAAAUAGUGUAAGGGAUUAGAAAAAGAAAAUGUUAAGCUUUAACGCUUUUAUGAAGGAUGGCUGCUUUUAGGCCCACUAAUCAUUUCAUUUAGAUAUAUUACCCUGUGAUGUAGGUUGUAUCCUGUUUCAAAUAAGCUGUGCCUUAUUUGAAUAGCUCUUAAAUUUAGUGAAGGUUUAGAUAAACUAAGGAAAAUUUAAGGUUGAACUAAAAUUCUUUUCUUGAGUAACCAGCUAUUUCUGAGUGCGGUAGGUUWAUCGCCUCUACUUGGAAAUCUUCCCACUCUAUUGCAMCAGAGAUGGGUUAGCUCUUAUAGCUGUUUCGAAGUAGCUUACAUCAGUUUCGGGGGGUUAAACUUAAAGUUCAUU
rnacentral:rRNA from 1 species